rnacentral:rRNA from 1 species
GACGAACGCUGGCGGCGUGCCUAACACAUGCAAGUAGAACGCUGAAGAGAGGAGCUUGCUCUUCUUGGAUGAGUUGCGAACGGGUGAGUAACGCGUAGGUAACCUGCCUUGUAGCGGGGGAUAACUAUUGGAAACGAUAGCUAAUACCGCAUAACAAUAGGUGACACAUGUCAUUUAUUUGAAAGGGGCAAUUGCUCCACUACAAGAUGGACCUGCGUUGUAUUAGCUAGUAGGUGAGGUAACGGCUCACCUAGGCGACGAUACAUAGCCGACCUGAGAGGGUGAUCGGCCACACUGGGACUGAGACACGGCCCAGACUCCUACGGGAGGCAGCAGUAGGGAAUCUUCGGCAAUGGGGGCAACCCUGACCGAGCAACGCCGCGUGAGUGAAGAAGGUUUUCGGAUUGUAAAGCUCUGUUGUAAGUCAAGAACGAGUGUGAGAGUGGAAAGUUCACACUGUGACGGUAGCUUACCAGAAAGGGACGGCUAACUACGUG